rnacentral:misc_RNA from 2 species
GUGCCCGUCCACCGAACGGUCUGCAGGCGAUCCGCGUCGGUCGCGCUGGGUGGUAUGGUUCCCCAGAGGCCGGUUCUUGUGCUGCCUACCCCCUUCAGGGGAAGAGUUCCAAACUCGAUGUAAGCCUCCAUCCGGCGCCCUCCAGAGGGCGCGGGAGGACAACGGAGCACCCCCCGCGUUCCACCGAGCCUCCUCGGUCGCGUGGCCCGUGGGGACGUGCGAUGCUCUCGGACCCAGCGAACGCCGUGGGCGAGGACUCACGUCCCGGUCCCAAGUGAAGCAACGGUAUAACGCACGACGGCCGCUCCCGCCCCCCGACCGCCCCGGCGGCGCGGGGGCGAAGGCGCGGCGUCGCUGAGGAAUGCU